GCCUUAUUUCUCUGGUUUGUUAACGUGCACCCAGUAACCGCCCCGCUCCUAUUUGUAUGGCACCGUUAGGAAAAGUGAGAGGAUUUAAGGAGACCGAGAGCAAUUUUCUUGUGAAGAUCCAGAAGAAAGCAGAGGAAAUAACAUUAUUUUAUGGGGUGUUUCAUGGCACAGCGUUAAGGUAAGUCAUCGUACAGCAGUCAUGCCCUACGAGGCAGCACUAAAAACCAUCAAAAUAAUUAUGCCAGAAGUCCUGGUUUGUCCAUUCUCCCGGGGGGAGCAGCAGAGAAAUGGGUCCAUUCACAUUAUGUACUGACAAUAUACAACACCAGCAGUGGUUAAUUGCAAUCGUUCCAUUGCAGCCAACUUCCAUUUGCACACAGGCGCAGACUGCAGCCCAGAGCUCCGUGUAUGCACUCAUCACAUUGCAACAAAACCCCCGUGCAUUUUUCCAACGACCGAUUCAACAAGAGAAAAAUGAAUGAGGACUUCUGCAACUUCUUAAGACCUCGGCUGUGCAGAAUGCCAGCCUGAAACACAUCCUGCAAGUUCGUGAUUUUAAUUUGGCUUCUUGUUAUUGUUGUUAAGGUCAGCAGGAGAGUUUAUAGCUGCCACGACUGCGGAGGAGUUCGUGUUGCAAAAUAUCUGUUUUUCUUUGCAUGCAUGCCAAGCAGCAGAGUGCCUUCAGUGCACCACCAUUCUUGUGACAUCUGAAAUUAGACUCUGACCUCAAAGCAGUGAAACAUCAUCUCCACCAGCGCAAAACAAAAAUGUAGGAUUACAACAAAGCAAAUAAAGAUAUGCAUCAGUUAGUUGUCACCUGACUUUUUAACAAACAUAAAUCAGGUUUAAUAAGUUGGAUGAGUCGUUAAGUCUCCUUUCAAAGGAACUCUGAUUCCUGUACAUAAUUUUGACGCUGAAAUGGCCACGUGCCACGCAAACACACCAACAUAUCCAACCGCAUGCACACAGCUCCCAUAGCUCCUGGCUGCAGUUCGUUUUCUGUGGAGCUUCCUGGGGGCCAGGAGGCAGCAAAGCCCCAUGGAUUCCAGCAGCCCCACACUGCUGUGGAGCACUGAUGCACCCACAGAGGUUCUGCUCCACAUGUUUACACUGACUCUAAAUACAUACAUAAGGAACGGUAAGAGGUGAUCGUGCUUGGAGUGCAGCUGUGCUCAGAGAGACAGUUACACAGAAAUUCGGGCUUCUUAACUACUCUAACAGACUCUAUAAUAAGUAGGCUCGUCCAUCGGUUAUAAGGAGUGCUGAGGAAGGGUGUUGGCCACACUGAAAUUAAGAAAGAAGGAAGAAAAAGUGGGAGGGCAAACUCCCAAACUGCACAGAGUAUGAAAUAGUCCCAACCCAUGGGACCAAAAGAACCCAGAGCUGAAGAGAGCAGUUGUGUACCCAGCGCAGCGCUUUGCCCCACCGAGCGGCACAGCCAUUCCUUCCCUGGGAGACCUGCUGGGAACCGCAGGCAGGAGGUGCUGCCUGCCCUCGUGUCCGAUCACUCGCUGACCUCACGCAUUGGGCUGCACCGCGAAGAAAUUACCUUUCUUAAAUCUACAGAAGGGUUUUGGAUUAUCUCCUUUCCAGCACAACAAGCAAAACUCAGGUCUUGUGAUGAACUUAUCAAUCUCCAUUAAUUAUAUCAGCAGUGUGGUGAAAUCAUCUAUUCUGUCAUCUCUGGAAUAUUGCUUGGCUUCAGGUUUGGCUCUCUCAAUCCGAUUUGUAGAUACUUAUUCGUGCACUUGUGACCUCCUGAUUGGAUUAUUGGAAUUCUUUGCUGACAGCUCUUCCUGAUAAGGCCUUACACAGGAUUCAAUUAAUCCAAAUGCAGUAGUGAAGAAAUUCUGUUAAGCAACCGCUCUGCUGUGAUCCAUACAGCCCUGCACUCGCCCGAUGGGCGGCACUUCCAGCAGCUGCAGAGGCAGUGCAUGCUGCACUGGGAGCCAGCAAACAUCUCGCUCUUCAGCACGCUUAUCUCUUUCAUCUGCCUUCUUCCUGACUCCACAGCAAGAUGUGCUGACCUCUCGGGGGCUCCUAAUCUCUUUAUCUACUGACCUCCCACUUACUAUUUGUCCUAAGUAUUGAAAUCAUUUAAUCCCCAAUAUCACUGAGAUGAAGAUGUAGAAUUUCCCCCUUCGUACUUUGCAGUGUGGUACGCAACUCUGCAGUCUAUGAACUUCGUGUUUUGCAGCAAGUACCCCCUCAUUAUUUACUAUACUUCCCUAUGGGCAGCUGCGAUCACAGCGGUCUUCCCUUUCCUCAUUCCUUGGCCUGGAGGACAGAAACCACCCACCAGAAGUGUCUGCAGGGCCUUCUAAUAGAUCUGUAUUCAAACUGCAGUACUGGAGCCAGGAUCCUCUGGAGUUUCCCUAAAUCCUCCACUUACUGUAACAGACAAAGAGCCUUAAUAGGAUCCUAAGGCUUUUAAGGCACUUAGAAAAGGUGAAUACACAAAAAACUCAGAAAUCUGAAGAUGUUAAAGAAAAAUUUUAAAAAUUAAAUUUUAAAAAUAAGACUCCAUUCCACACUCUUGAGAUUGACUGAAUAAUACACGACAAACUCCAGCCAUUAUCUCCAGGCAGGAGAAGCUUGAGCAGCAGCAUGCACUGGGGCACUGUGAUCAGACGUGCUGGACAAACCUUCCUGAGCAAUCAAACCCUGAAGGGUGAAGUUGGUACAGGCACCCAAAAACCAACUGUCUGAUGUGAGGGCAGUAUUCACGUGGGCUUCCAUCGAGAAAAGGAAGAAGAGAUGCUGGAUGACACCCACAGAUGGGAGCUGCUCUCCCCGGCAUGGCAGCUGAUGCUGAAUGCAUGCACGGAUCUCAGAAACCAAUAAUGAAGUUCUCUCAUUUUCCACAUUAUUCUAAAAAUAUCUUUAGUCAUUAUUUUUAAUUACCUGUUAAAGCAGCAGGUGUGACAGAUUUGCAUCACAUUUUCAGCCUACUAAAUCGUCCCGUUUUGCAGACAUACACAGAAGGCAAAGCCUCUAAAACUCUGUGUGUUUUGCACAGAACACAGAUGCUUGUUACUCACAGCAUCAAUGGGACGAAGAGACCUGGUUCUUAACUGACACAAAACAAAUCCAGACCUCCUCAGCCUUAUUUUCAGUGGGUGGGAGAGCUUGGCAAGACAAACUGCUGCACCCGUUUGUACAGAACAAAGACAAGAAGCCGGAGAUUACCCACACUGUGGGCAGCCGCGUGUCCCACCGCACUGCUUGCGCACAACCUGGGCAAAUAGUUUUAAAGUUCCAGAGCCCGCAGUGGGUGUGGAUGAGGGGACCUCCUGAACCUUCCCAGUAAAUCCUGAGGCCUAUCGAACAUCUAUCAGAACUCCGCAGUUGCUUUGCCAAGGGUUUGUGAUAGUUGGAAUUUAGGUAACUUCUGAAAAUUAGGACUGGAUAAUGAAGUUCCCACGAGGAAUUUGUUGCUGCUGUUCAGGAGCAUUAUCUAGCACAGAGUUCAAGGGCCUGGCCUGCUGGCACGUAAAGAAACUAACAUUUCACUCCAGAUUGCAGCUGAGUAUGUUUUACACUACAGAAAAGCAAGCUUGUGUCAACCCAGUGCAAUGCAGCCCCCAGCGCUGUGCUGCAGGAGGGCUGGGGGGGACUUUACAUGAAAGCAAAGCAGACAAACUGACUGAGGUGCUCAGUUCCUGCAGGGCUGCACUGCCUUUCACGAGGGCUAACCAACGGACACAGCCACACACGGCACCUCUUCCAUUUGCUCAAGUCAGUGCAGGUUCAGAAGCUCCCAGCACCUCCAGAUGCAAAGUGCACCUCUGAGCCUGCAGUCCAGAAUGGGAACAUGGAUGGAGUGCUAACACCCAUAAAAGCAGCACGCAUUGUGGCCUGUUUUCCACAAGCAAGAUGUUCCCAGCCAGAGGAUUAUAAGUGCCAUGCUUCGUUACAUUUCAAACAAUAAAAAUGAAUGACCCAUCUCCAGUGAGUGUCAUAUUUCUGGAAGGGAGGAUAGCCCGUGUGCUAAGGAACAUGUCCUAAAUCUGUCUGCUCCAUUAACCUUUGAAAGUUGGAAUAGUUCUAAGGUUUGAGAAGCAAUUAAUAUCCUGUAGGCAAUAACAUUCUUGAAUAGACGACCCAGGAUUUCAGUUACACCUGAGCAGAAAGUAAUACCUCACCAAGAGCUCUCAAAGAACUGAAAACAAAAAACCACCCCAAAAAUCUCAUUUUGAAGUGCAGUGAGAGGUCAUAAAAACUGUGGAUUACUUUAGUUAGCCAUUUGUAACAGGUAAAUGCAGGAGUGUGACUUCCUGGCGUGGGGGGAAAGGUCUGUAUGACUUUUCCAGGGUUAUGAAUACAUAAAUAACAAUGGUCACUGCAGAAGGACAGAAGCUUUGGGAUUAACCUUUCCACACAUUUCUAAGUAACCUGCUGACCCAGUAAAAGAUUUUUGUGUUUGUUCUCCACAUCAAUCAUACCUAUAGGAGAUGUAAACAUUUCUCCAUCUACCUCGGAAUGGAAACCAGAAAAUAAUCACCCAUCCUUUACAAUUAGUUGUUUACACUCAAGCUGCCCUUCAGUAAAUGCAUGGCUACAGGAUUUUUGUGUAAGAAAUUAAUGGCUUUACCCAUGCCAUGUAUUACUGCCAUUCCAGAAAUGAAGCCAUUCUGCCCAGGUUUACCAAGAGCUCCCUCAGUGCUCCAAGUAUGAGAGAUCACUUCCCCACCAUGGAAUCAAGAUUGGUUUAAGCUGUUCGCUUCUCCAAGAGAGGAGAAGAAGCGUCCACCCCACUGCGCCCACAUCCCAGAAUGACUCCCAUGUACGCCCAUGUGCCCAUGAAGGGCACCUCCCCAGCCCACAGCUACCACUGGCAGCCCAUGCAGCAGGGCCAUCAAUAACAGGCCUGAGCAUUAAGCAGCACAGAACUGAGCAUUUCAGAUUAAGUGCAUUCCAGAACCCUUUUCUAGCAGGGAAUUCAAGCUGUGAUGCACAUGAUAUUAUUUUCCUUCUUAAGUUCUACAACACAUGAGUUUGCCUGACAAGAAAAGAGAUCCAGAGGAUUCAGGCUGGGUCAGCAUCUGGAGUUAAGAGAGAACUGACAGCGAUUUCCCACGCAAGUUUUCUGACAAAAAUAAAACUCCUUGUUCCAAAGAGGUUAAAUCAGAUCUGUAACCAACAUCCCAGAAAGACACACUGAUUUCCACUGGCAUUAGGAUGGGCCUUUGUUGCGUACCAGCUGUUGAGUAAGAACACAGUUAACAUCUUCCUUCAAGACACUGAGCCCGUCUUGGAACCUUCCUCUGCUGCACACCUUUCCCCUGUGGCAGAGGGAUGCAGAGAAGUGCAGAAGUUGCCAACACCGAAAAUCAGCAGUGCCUUCAGGUUCACACAACACCGGAAUUCCCAGGCCUUUAGCGUUUACUUCCUGCCCUAUCACGGUGGAGAAUGAUUUCAGCCUGUCCCAAUGAGUCACAAAGUAAAGUUUUAGCAUAGAUAUUUGUCAAGGAGACCAAUAAAAUGAAAUAAAUAGGGUAACAAAGUGGGAAUUAAAUACAGUGGGGAAAACAAGAGCAACGAUCUUUGCUUUAAAAGCACAAAGCUGGAUUGCUGUUUAGUAAAGCAGAUGCUUUUAUCAAUGUCCAGAGAACAGCUGAAGUGGGGCAGUAAUUGGCAGGGACUGACCUCGGGCUGAUCUGAACAACGAAAUUCAAAGGAAAUUGUGCCUCCACGAAGCACUGCUCUGUUACUGACGCGCCUUUACCCCAAGCACACAACUAUUCUGAGAAAAAAAAGCAGAAACUGUACCAUGAAAGAAACAGAUGUUUUUUGCAGGUAAACACUUCAACAACGUCAAAACAAACUUCCGGGUUUUGCUGUUUUUCCCCAGAAAAUGCACGCACUGCCAGAAGCUCCCACAAGUUAAAUGGCAGAACGGUCUUCAAAAGGCAUCGGUACCGAAGCUCGCUGCUAAUGAGCUGCAGAUCUGCAUCGUAACUGACCAUCCCGAUUUCCACCCACAAAAGCAGGAUGUGGGCAGUAAGAACAAAUACCACCGCAGAGCCAAAAAAUAAUAAUAAAGGAGAUCUGCAGAGUUGAGAGUACAGUAAGCAACAUAAAUACCAGUCUAAUUGCUGCAGACACUGCGUGAAAGGAGCAGCCGCUGCCCCGCACCGCACAGUGUGUGACAGCAGCGGCCGCCGUACCGCCUCCCAGAGAUGGCCGUCUGCAGCUCUCGCCUAUCGCUGCCGAGCGGUGACACACACACACACACACACACACACACACACACGUGCACGUGCAAAGGGCAGGGGGGAAAAGCGACGCGAGCCCAAGGAGUUAACGGCCACGCCGCCCUGCUGGGCCGCCCCAGCACUCUAUCACAAGCACUGUCAGGGGCCCAUGCUGGGUGGCUAAUUAAAACAAUUACAAAGACAAAGCAGGUAUCAAUAGCAUUCCAAGCAGCAAAGAAAGAGAUGAAGUAGUGAAGAUUUAAAUCAUCAGCAGCUGAGCUCUGCGGCCCCACGGCACGGCGGGGUCCGCCUCCGAGCCGCCGAAAGCUCCCCGUGCGGACCCGGGGUGGUUUUGUGUUCGGCUGUACGAGGUUUCGUGGUUUGAGGGGCCGUGGCAUUUGCUCGUUUUAUACACAUACACACUUAAUGUUUAGUGCCAGCAAUUGCAGAGAUAAAAUAGAAACGCUUCGGUUUUCAUUCUGGCUUUUCACAGACAAGGUGGAUAAACGGAUCGCAAAGGAGCGGCUGUGACAGCGAGGGCAGUCCCUCAGAGCCUGCCGGAGGGUCUCCCAAACCGUUUGGUGAACGCAAUUGCGCAGCGCAGCCUGAGCGGGGAAAGCCGUGCAGCGCUGUGCAGACACACCGCCCUUACCUUCCCGAGGAGCAUCCCCAGCAGCGGCCGCUUUCCUCGCGCACGGAAAUAAAGGCGCUUCUCCUGAAGGGCAG
ensembl:lncRNA